UUGACCUCGAAUCAGGUAGGAAUACCCGCUGAACUUAAGCAUAUCAAUAAGCGGAGGA
rnacentral:rRNA from 47 species